rnacentral:snoRNA from 1 species
UGAUGAUGAUGAGGGCAAUUUCUGAGCAUACCCUUAAACCUCUCCCAAGCUUGGUAGAGAUUCUCUCCUUCUUUCGAUCUGAAACUUAAGAUCUCACUCAUUAAGCA